GCCAGGCGCGGUGGCGCAUGCCUGUAGUCCCAGCUACUCGGGAGGCUGAGAUGGGAGGAUCGCUUGAGCCCAGGAGUGCUGGGCUGUAGUGCGCUAUGCCGAUUGGGUGUCUGCACUAAGUUCGGCAUCAAUAUUGUGACCUCCCGGGAGCAGAGGACCACCAGGUUGCCUAAGGAGGGGUGAACCAGCCCAGGUCGGAAACGGAGCAGGUCAAAACUCCCGUGCUGGUCAGUUGUGGGACCGCACCUGUGAACAGCCACUGCACUCCAGCUUGGGCAACAUAGCAAGACCCCGUCUCU
rnacentral:SRP_RNA from 1 species